AGCUCUGAUCGAUGUAUUAGCCAGGGGCCUUACUCCAUCUUCGUAAAGAAAUGCACUAGCAAGUGGUAGUAGACCAAUGAGAGAAAGCAUCUCAAGUGGGACCAUUCCUUUGCCUGCAGAGCCUGAAAACAUGGCAAUUCCCAAGUAUGUUUGGGACAGAGAUUUUUCUGUGGCCAAACCUGGAAACAUUAAAAAAACUGAUUUUCAAAUCCAUGUCCUCUCUGAACCAUCACCCUUCACACCAAAAGGAGAUGAAGACCUUGAGCUUGUCCAUGCUGGACUUGGAAAAAGGCUUUUAACUGUUCCAGAUAAUUUUAAACACAGUGAGAUUGUCAGUCUGCUUGAAGGAGAGUUUCCCAAAUUAAAAACACUUCAGGGUGGCUGGAUGUUUUACAAGUCUACAGGUAUUUAUGUUUUGCAUGUUACAUAUAAACAAAAAAUGAUUUGUGUGCAUUUGCAAUAACUUUGCACUUUUGUAAAUUAAUGAAACUGGUAUGUGCUUUGUUGGCGUUAAUAAUUUAGUAAUAAGCUUCAUUAGUUUAAACUUUUUAGUCAAGGACAUGUUUCUCUGCCAUGUUCUAAGAUUAUGGCAUGCCCUACUUCAGUUUUCCAGUGGUAAACAGAGCUUUAUAGAACAUUUCUGUCCAAAAUUUUAGGUGACACAUUUAUAACAAUAUUGCUAGCCCAAGAAGGCAACAGUAGUCCUGAAUGUGAUUCUCAAUUGAUUUU